UACGGAGGGAGCUAGCGUUGUUCGGAAUUACUGGGCGUAAAGCGCACGUAGGCGGCUUUGUAAGUUAGAGGUGAAAGCCCGGGGCUCAACCCCGGAAUUGCCUUUAAGACUGCAUCGCUUGAAUCCAGGAGAGGUGAGUGGAAUUCCGAGUGUAGAGGUGAAAUUCGUAGAUAUUCGGAAGAACACCAGUGGCGAAGGCGGCUCACUGGACUGGUAUUGACGCUGAGGUGCGAAAGCGUGGGGAUCAAACAGG
rnacentral:rRNA from 1 species